UGGGGAAUCUUGCGCAAUGGGCGAAAGCCUGACGCAGCGACGCCGCGUGCGGGAAGAAGGCCUUCGGGUUGUAAACCGCUUUCAGGGGGGACGAAGCCACUCGGGUUAAUAGCCCAGAGGGUGACGGUACCUUCAGAAGAAGCCCCGGCUAACUACGUGCCAGCAGCCGCGGUAAUACGUAGGGGGCAAGCGUUGUCCGGAUUUAUUGGGCGUAAAGAGCGUGUAGGCGGCCUGGAAGGUCAGCUGUGAAAACUCGAGGCUCAACCUCGAGACGUCGGUUGAAACCACCUGGCUAGAGUCCGGAAGAGGAGAAUGGAAUUCCCGGUGUAGCGGUGAAAUGCGCAGAUAUCGGGAAGAACACCCGUGGCGAAGGCGGCUCUCUGGGACGGUACUGACGCUGAGACGCGAAAGCGUGGGGAGCGAACAGGAUUAGAUACCCCCGUAGUCC
rnacentral:rRNA from 1 species